rnacentral:rRNA from 1 species
UGAGUAACACGUAUCCAACCUGCCGUCUACUCUUGGACAGCCUUCUGAAAGGAAGAUUAAUACAAGAUGGCAUCAUGAGUUCACAUGUUCACAUGAUUAAAGGAUUCCGGUAAAGGAUGGGGAUGCGUUCCAUUAGGUUGUUGGUGAGGUAACGGCUCACCAAGCCUUCGAUGGAUAGGGGUUCUGAGAGGAAGGUCCCCCACAUUGGAACUGAGACACGGUCCAA